UCUUUCUCCUGUGUCUCUGAGUGACAGAGGAACUCAGUGUCCCCAAGACUUGUUUGAGGAUGUACAGCUUGGAGUCCCACUCAAGCCAGGGGCCCUGGCGCUGGAUGAAUGGGAAUGUGGGUAUCUUUUCCAGGAAACAGGUUUUAAUCCAAGAUGAGGUUCUGACCAAACAUACUUCUCUGACCUUCAGUCUCUUCUUUUGUCUCAUUCAAGAAUUGGGCAAUUUAAGAAGGAGCCGGGUGCAUGACGAUUUCAUUCCCGAAAUCCAUCUCGAGCUCUCUUCCACUGACUCACCCAGCCGGACGGGCCAGCGGCCUUCACCAUCUUCCUGCUUAGACCCAAGUAUCCGAAGUGACGGGACUCGAGGAAACGCCGGAUCAAACAGCAAACAUGGAACCAAUCAGAUCUUUAACCCGACACUACAAACUUCCCACAGACUUCAGAGAAAUACCUCAGGAAGGUUGUGACCUUUCCAUUUUCUCCCCGGGCUACCGCCUCCUCCAGCCUUUCGAAAAUACAGAGCUGACCUUGCCACUUCAA